GGAGAGGUGCCCGAGAGGUCGAAGGGGACGGUCUCGAAAAUCGUUGUGGGCUUUGCUCACCGAGGGUUCGAAUCCCUCCCUCUCCG
rnacentral:tRNA from 1 species